rnacentral:lncRNA from 1 species
GGGUUCAUUAUAAUCUUAAAAACAAUAACAUGCAGCAUAUAAUGAAUCAAAAAUAUAUAUUUUAUUAAUAAUAUAAAUAUCAAUUAUAUGAGUCUGAAAAAUAAAUUAUAAUAAAUAUCCCAUCGCAUCCCAUAUGUGAUUGACUUAUAGGAUAUUAUUCUUUCAUUAAUGAGACUUCUAGAAAAUAUGGAUGAAGCUCAAGG